CCUACGUGUGUCUGCAGUAGGGAAUCUUCCACAAUGGGCGAAAGCCUGAUGCAGCAACGCAGCGUGGGUGAAGAAGGUCUUCGGAUCGUAAAACCCUGUUGUUAGAGAAGUAAGUGCGUGAGAGUAACUGUUCACGUUUCGACGGUAUCUAACCAGAAAGCCACGGCUAAUUACGUGCCAGCAGCUGCGGUAAUACGUAGGUGGCAAGCGUUAUCCGGAUUUAUUGGGCGUAAAGGGAAGGCGGUCGGUCUGUUAAGUCUGAUGUGAAAGCCUUCGGCUUAACCGGAGUAGUGCAUUGGAAACUGGGAGACGUGAGUGCAGAAGAGGAGAGUGGAACUCCAUGUGUAGCGGUGAAAUGCGUAGAUAUAAGGAAGAACACCAGUGGCGAAGGCGGCUCUCUGGUCUGUAACUGACGCUGAGGUUCGAAAGCGUGGGUAGCAAACAGGAUUAGAUACCCCUGUAGUC
rnacentral:rRNA from 1 species